rnacentral:lncRNA from 1 species
UGUAACAAUAUGUUGAAUUUGCCAUGGGCCUUUAAAGCUUCAAUGUUGUGAAGAGCUCUGCAUGAAAUUUUAAAGAGACUGGACCUUUCAUCUGCACAACAGCAGGGCACCUCGCUAUAGGGACAAGAAAGGAAGAGAGAGAGAGAACAUUUCUGAAGUAAUAGUGAAAAAUAACAGCAGAAGCAAUUAUUUCAUCAAAGAUUGCAGGGAGAGGCUCCUCCGUGCUCCUGAGAGGCCGAACACAGGGUCGCCAGCACAGCUUACUGCUCGGUGUCUCCUGAGCCACAGAGGAAGACGUGGCAGGAGCACCUGGUGCUAAUAUAUAUUCAUGUCUAUGGCAAUGCCGACCAUCUGGCUGGUCUGAACCAGGAUAAAAGUGAAGAAUUCCUCUGUGAAGACCCAGCUCUUUCUUUGGCUCCUUUUUUGAAGCCAUCUUUGCUCUGCUCUCCUCUGCUGCCCAGAAAGUUCCAGAGUGAAGCUCAGCUCUAGAUGAACAAAAACUGGUUGAGUCCAGAGAUGCCUGAGUUGGAGAUGAACCUUGCAAACUUUCCUCAUUACCAUACUAAAAACCCCACCCAGGAAGGAGCUUAUCUGCCAUUUCCUACACAUGUGACAUAUGGAGAAGCAUGAUCAGCUACUUCACAGUCUCUGCCUUUACUCUGCCUCCGCAUACAAUGGCUCAGCCAACUAGCCUAACGAAAGCUGUUUUCACCAUUGUUUGGGAGGUACUGCUUUGGGAAACUGCCCCAGCUGUCCUCCUUACUUGUUGUAGGUAAUAAAAUC